rnacentral:lncRNA from 1 species
GAAUGAGAAGUCAUUUGGAUAUCUACUUACUCGUCAGUGACUAUCUCAAUGAUGUAGUUGUGUGAGUAAUUUUUUGACCUGCAAUAUCUUAAUUGCUCACAAUGGUGUUGUAGUUUGAUAAUAUAUAAACAUGAUCCCUAGCCAUUCGAAGCUUUGCAUUAUUUGUUGACUGCAAUAGGUUCACUGUAGGAGUAGGAUGUGCACUUAUAGGAGAUCUAUCGGUCUUAGUAGUUGAGG